UACGGGAGGCAGCAGUGGGGAAUAUUGCACAAUGGGCGCAAGCCUGAUGCAGCCAUGCCGCGUGUAUGAAAAAGGCCUUCGGGUUGUAAAGUACUUUCAGUCGUGAGGAAGGUGUUAAGGUUAAUAACCUUAGCAAUUGACGUUAGCGACAGAAGAAGCACCGGCUAACUCCGUGCCAGCAGCCGCGGUAAUACGGAGGGUGCGAGCGUUAAUCGGAAUUACUGGGCGUAAAGGGCACGCAGGCGGUUAAUUAAGUUGGAUGUGAAAUCCCCGGGCUUAACCUGGGAAUGGCAUUCAAGACUGGUUAGCUAGAGUCUUGUAGAGGGGGUUAGAAUUCCAUGUGUAGCGGUGAAAUGCGUAGAGAUGUGGAGGAAUACCGGUGGCGAAGGCGGCCCCUGGACAAAGGCUGACGCUCAUGUGCGAAAGCGUGGGGAGCAAAC
rnacentral:rRNA from 1 species